rnacentral:rRNA from 1 species
UACGAAGGGGGCUAGCGUUGCUCGGAAUCACUGGGCGUAAAGGGUGCGUAGGCGGGUCUUUAAGUCAGAGGUGAAAUCCUGGAGCUCAACUCCAGAACUGCCUUUGAUACUGGGAGCCUUGAGUUCAGAGAGGUGAGUGGAACUGCGAGUGUAGAGGUGAAAUUCGUAGAUAUUCGCAAGAACACCAGUGGCGAAGGCGGCUCACUGGCUCGAUACUGACGCUGAGGUGCGAAAGCGUGGGGAGCAAACAGG